AGCGGUCUGUGGGGUAGUUUCCGGCUUCUGGCAGCGGCGCCUGCGCGUCGUGAUGUCUCGUCUGGGAAAUUGCGGCCCGCGUGCUGUCAGGCGGCUUCGAGGGUUUUUCGCUGUCGACGUUUUGGGCUUUGGGAACAGCCUUUUGCCUUCCAGAAGGGACUCACCAGAUGCCAGGCAAACAGUAUCUGCAGAUUUGACACUUGCCCCUUCGGGCAGAAGUCUCCCUUCUUGAGAUCCCGCGUGCUAGUGGAAUGCAUGCCCAGAACUUCAUGAGAAGACUCGUUUUCUGUUUGCGUAUUUCUGAGACAGGGUCUCACUUGCUGUAUAGCCUGGUAUGACCUCAGACUCCCGGCAACCCUCCUUCCUCGGUCUCCUGAAUCAACAUUAAGGGGAUUACGGGCGUGGCUUCCACAUCUGCUAAUAUGAGGGAUUUCUUGUUUUGUGCCUUUCAGUGCCACCUGCUUUUCUGGGGCAGCGGCAGCUAGCAUUCACUGAGCUUUUGGCAAGUUGGCCCCCACCUUCUGCCAUGCUGCUCUGGUUGCUUUUGAGCACUGAAAUGACAUACCCCAGGCUGGAAACCUAUGCCUGAAGUGAAGCAUUGAGUGUUAAGUCUAGCGCCCAACUCAGGUGUAGUUCCAGGGCCCCGCUUCUUUCUGAUUUAAAAAAUAUUCCUGCAGUAAGAGAGCAAGUCUCCAGUACCACUGUGACUCAAAGGCAUUUGGAAAAUAACUAAGAAUGACUACUUUCCCGAUUUAUGGGAUAUGUGUGGUACUUAUUCAAUGAGAUUGGAACAAAGUCCUCUUCUAACAUGUGACUACUUGUUAAGGCGAAAGAGUGAAUGCAGUCUCCCAUUACUGAAAAUUAUAUAAACUAAUUUGCCUUAGGGGAAAGCACAGGGCGAACCUGGACCUGGGAAAAUCACGUCUUGAUGGAUGUCUGCCCUGUCAGAUCAAGGAGACAGUGACCCAGUUCAUCCAUGAGCACAGCAGGAGCCCACUGUUCAUGCCUGGAAAGUAGCCAUGAGGCUUCUAAGCAACUGGGGUACCAGAACUGGCCGCUUGAGCAGACCUAGCUGCAGAAAGCAGCCCAUCUGAGAGGUCAUUGUAUCCUUUUGGUCUUGGACAUUAUACUGUGUCACUCGUAUUCUACUGAGGUCCAGUCUUUGUGGUGGUAAUUACAUAAGGUCCUAGUUAAAAGAUCCUGGAUCCACAAGUUCUGACAUUUCCUUUGAAUUCCCCAGUCUCCCCCUAACCGUGACAAGUAGCCUUUACUUCCAUCAAGACCUGCCCUGCCCUGAGGUUUUCCUAAAGGGAGCACUCACCGCA